UACGUAGGGUGCAAGCGUUAAUCGGAAUUACUGGGCGUAAAGCGUGCGCAGGCGGUUUGUAAGUCUGUCGUGAAAUCCCCGGGCUUAACCUGGGAAUUGCGAUGGAGACUGCAAGGCUAGAAUCUGGCAGAGGGGGGUAGAAUUCCACGUGUAGCAGUGAAAUGCGUAGAGAUGUGGAGGAACACCGAUGGCGAAGGCAGCCCCCUGGGUCAAGAUUGACGCUCAUGCACGAAAGGCGUGGGAGCAAACGAGAUAGAUACCUG
rnacentral:rRNA from 1 species